rnacentral:rRNA from 1 species
AUUGAACGCUGGCGGCAUGCCUUACACAUGCAAGUCGAACGGUAACAGGUCUUCGGAUGCUGACGAGUGGCGAACGGGUGAGUAAUACAUCGGAACGUGCCUAGUAGUGGGGGAUAACUACUCGAAAGAGAGGCUAAUACCGCAUGAGAUCUACGGAUGAAAGCAGGGGAUCGCAAGACCUUGUGCUACUAGAGCGGCCGAUGGCAGAUUAGGUAGUUGGUGGGAUAAAAGCUUACCAAGCCGACGAUCUGUAGCUGGUCUGAGAGGACGAUCAGCCACACUGGGACUGAGACACGGCCCAGACUCCUACGGGAGGCAGCAGUGGGGAAUUUUGGACAAUGGGUGCAAGCCUGAUCCAGCAAUGCCGCGUGCAGGAUGAAGGCCUUCGGGUUGUAAACUGCUUUUGUACGGAACGAAAAGCCCUGGGUUAAUACCCUGGGGUCAUGACGGUACCGUAAGAAUAAGCACCGGCUAACUACGUGCCAGCAGCCGCUGUAACAC